GUUUCCCUUCUCAAUUGAGGAAUGGUUUGUCGAAACCUGGUGUUCCCAGCGAGUUUCUUGAAAUCUUAUUUAAAUAGGCAGAUGAUGUUGAAGAAUAUCCCAAGAUUCCAGAGGCGAAAGGGUCGAUUAAGGCCAUCCGUAGUGAGGCCUUCUUCAUCCCUUUGUAUGAGCUUUACAUCACUUGUGGUGGGAUUUUCAGGCUAACCUUUAGAUCAAAGUCGUUUUUUAUUGUUUCUGAUCCUUCCAUUGCUAAGCAUAUAUUGAGGGACAACUCAAAGUCUUAUUCAAAGGGUAUAUUAGCAGAGAUUUUGGAUUUUUUCAUGGGAAAAGGACUUAUCCCUGCCGAUGGUCAGAUAUGGCGUGUUAGAAGACGUGCUAUAGACCCAUCAUUGCAUCAAAA